AACUUAACCUAGGAGCCUAGUAGGCAGGCCAAGUAGGCAACAACCAAACAACCUACAAGCGCCGACGAGCCGCGGAGCCUCCGUGCGGGAGGUUCAUCUCUCCCAGUCUCUGCUGGUGCCGGAUCCUCCAACCGCGGACCGCCGUCCCUCUCCACUCUCCGUCUAGUUGAUUGGAGUUUCGUUUCAUCCCAAAGGCGCGCGGAUUGGUUUCUUCCCUUUCGCUGGUAUUAAUCCCAUGUCAGCACUCAUGAUAUGCUCCUUGCCACAAAUUGUGGCAGCACCUACUGCAACUACACUAUUCGCAGGGGGGAGACGUAAUGAGCUACAGUGUUCCCAAAUUCAGGGUCCCCGAGUCAAUACCAUUUCGGUUACUGGAAAAGUUUCUGCUAGAACAACAUCGUGUGGUGUAAGAUGUUACGCAACUCAAACCCAAAACGUACUGAGGAAAUCUUCUACUGCAACUAUCAAGCGAGCUGAUCCCAAAGGGAUGGUGAACAGGCCUAAACUUGAUGAUGGCAAUGGGGGUUUUCCUCCAUUCCGCUUUGGUAAAGGCGGGGGAGGAGGAGGUGGUGGGGGAGGUGGCAGCAACUAUUUUGGUGGUUUUUUCGUAUUUGCCUGUGUAUUGCUUCUGGAUUACCUGAAGGAAGCCGAGAAAAACCUACUCCGACAAGGCCAUGGUUCAGGAGAUCAAGCAAGCAUUGGGCUGGCGCAAUAACCAUUUUCGUUUCAGUUAGCAUUAAUUGAUUGUGUUUGCUGUAAACUUGAGCUCGUUCAAUGCAGAUGUGACAGUUGACCCCGAGCAUAUUGAUGUAUCACUCUCGUGAAAGAGUGGUUAUCAUAUGCUUAAGAUUCAGUAGAUAGAGGUCAUGUCGCUCGAUAUCAAAUCAAUAGAAAACCUACAAAUAAACACUUUUAACUUGUACUUGGCCAGCUCAAACGGUGGCUAGCCACCCCCCUCUAUUCUAGCCACAAGAACAUGCAUCUUAAUGGUCUGUUGGACUACCUGCAGGCUGUUUGUUAAAGCGACCUAUGGUAUUGAUU